rnacentral:siRNA from 1 species
AGUCAGCUCAGAACUGGUA